AACGAACGCUGGCGGCAUGCCUAACACAUGCAAGUCGAACGAGACCUUCGGGUCUAGUGGCGCACGGGUGCGUAACGCGUGGGAACCUGCACUUAGGUUCGGAAUAACUCCACGAAAGGGGUGCUAAUACCGGAUAAUGUCUUCGGACCAAAGAUUUAUCGCCUUUGGAGGGGCCCGCGUUGGAUUAGCUAGUUGGUAGGGUAAAAGCCUACCAAGGCGACGAUCCAUAGCUGGUCUGAGAGGAUGAUCAGCCACACUGGGACUGAGACACGGCCCAGACUCCUACGGGAGGCAGCAGUGGGGAAUAGUGGACAAUGGGCGAAAGCCUGAUCCAGCAAGGCCGCGUGAGUGAUGAAGGCCUUAGGGUUGUAAAGCUCUUUUACCCGGGAUGAUAAUGACAGUACCGGGAGAAUAAGCUCCGGCUAACUCCGUG
rnacentral:rRNA from 1 species